rnacentral:rRNA from 1 species
AGAGUUUGAUCAUGGCUCAGGAUGAACGCUAGCGGCAGGCUUAACACAUGCAAGUCGAGGGGUAACAUUGGUGCUUGCAUCAGAUGACGACCGGCGCACGGGUGCGUAACGCGUAUACAAUCUGCCAUUAACUGGAGGAUACCCUUUAGAAAUGAAGAAUAACACUCCAUGGUAACAUAGACUCGCAUGAGUUUAUGUUUAAAUAUUUAUAGGUUAAUGAUGAGUAUGCGUCCUAUUAGCUAGAUGGUAAGGUAACGGCUUACCAUGGCAACGAUAGGUAGGGGCCCUGAGAGGGGGAUCCCCCACACUGGUACUGAGACACGGACCAGACUCCUACGGGAGGCAGCAGUGAGGAAUAUUGGGCAAUGGAGGCAACUCUGACCCAGCCAUGCCGCGUGCAGGAUGACUGCCCUAUGGGUUGUAAACUGCUUUUAUACAGGAAGAAACACUGGUAUGUAUACCAGCUUGACGGUACUGUAAGAAUAAGGACCGGCUAACUCCGUGCCAGCAGCCGCGGUAAUACGGAGGGUCCAAGCGUUAUCCGGAAUCAUUGGGUUUAAAGGGUUCGUAGGCGGAUUAAUAAGUCAGAGGUGAAAUCCCAUCGCUCAACGAUGGAACUGCCUUUGAUACUGUUAGUCUUGAAUUAUGUGGAAGUAGAUAGAAUGUGUAGUGUAGCGGUGAAAUGCUUAGAGAUUACACAGAAUACCGAUUGCGAAGGCAGUCUACUACGUAUAUAUUGACGCUAAUGAACGAAAGCGUGGGGAGCGAACAGGAUUAGAUA